UGGUGUUGUAUGUAUAUAUAGGGCCGGAGUUGGGAGUGGUGAGGCCUCACGGCGACGAGUCUUCUUCUUGAUCUCGGGUCGAAUUAGGUGAGUGUCAGAAAGAGGAAUCAACGAUGGUUUCCUCCAUGAUGGUCUCCUCGGCUGCCACCUUCACCCGGGCUUCCCCGGCUCAAUCCAGCAUGGUGGCGCCGUUCACCGGCCUCAAGUCCGCCUCCGCCUUCCCUGUCACCAGGAAGCCCAACGCCGACCUCUCCCACCUCCCCAGCAAUGGCGGCCGAGUUCAGUGCAUGAAGGUACGCACGUACAAGGCUCGUGGCUCGAGUCGGAAACCUCUGUUACCGAGAUAGCCGUUACGAAUCAUAUACUGUGGAUGUAAUUCUUACGACAGGUGUGGCCGAUCGAGGGCAUGAAGAAGUUUGAGACCCUGUCCUACCUUCCGACACUGAAGGACGAGGAGUUGCUGAAGCAGAUCGAGUACCUUCUCCGCUCCAAAUGGAUUCCCUGCUUGGAGUUCUGCCCCGUAAGUAACUUCACCUGCCCCAUGGUGGGCAUCCGGUAACCUUGAUAUCCAGCAUGCAUACCGGGGAUUGAAGUCGAUCGUAAUGACCAUAACAGAAAGGGUUCGUGUGGCGCGAGAACCACCGGUCGCCGGGGUACUACGACGGGCGGUACUGGACCAUGUGGAAGCUGCCCAUGUUCGGGUGCACCGACGCUGUGCAGGUGGCGAAGGAGGUGGAGGAGUGCAAGAAGGAGUACCCCCACGCCUUCAUCCGCAUCAUCGGCUUCGACAACAACCGCCAGGUGCAGUGCAUCAGUUUCAUCGCCUACAAGCCGACCGGCUACUAGACGAUUCGGAUCCGGCUCUUCGGAUUUGCUUUCUUUGGUUCAGUGUUGGAUGUUUCCCCUUCUCUCGUUGU
rnacentral:lncRNA from 1 species